rnacentral:lncRNA from 1 species
AAAGUGGAGGAGGAAAUGCUAGGGAGAUGGACUUCGAGAGUUCCUUGACUUUGUUCUUGCCUUAGAAAACAAGGAUACUCCAGAAGGGUUGACAUAUUUAUUUCAUUGUCUGGACCUUCAUGGUCGGGGAUUCCUUACGACUGCUGACAUUCACUCUCUUUUCAGGUAAAGAAAUCAUGCAGAUUAACUUGUAGGUUUCAAUAGGGGGUUAAUAAUUUUUCUCACUAGUCAUUCUAGGUUGUUCUUAAAAGAAAAAUAUUGAAAUGUCACUUUUUAUCUUAAAAGAAAAAACACAAGUAUUGAAAUGUAGCAUUUUUCUUGGCAAGAUAUAAAGUUUAAGCUGCAUAUGGAAGUAACGAAGGGGAACAUCCAAAAGCUGAGAUGUUACCUGAUACAAUCUUCCUAUAGAAAACUCUGAACUUCCUGCUUCUAGUACUUGAGCUAGU